CGGCCUAGUCCGGGCCUCGUGGGCGGGAAAGGCGGGCGCUGCUUCUCUGUCGCUUGUUGUUGCUUAGGGGGCACCGCCCGACCUUCGUCCCUAAGGCCUGUGUCCGCAGACACAGAAGAUCUCGCGGACGGGCGAUUGCGGAGGGCGCGCGGCUGCUGUCUGCAGAAUGAAUGGGGUGAAUGAAUGAGGGUGCGCGUGCCCGAGGCCCGGCUUGCGUCAGCCAUGCGUACUAGGCAUGGACACGGCCUGGGAUUCAUGCGUGGGGUUUUGUGGUCCUAGCUGUGGACGGGACCGGAUGCAGUUAGUCCAAGCGUUCUGCACCCCGGAGCCCUUCCUCUGUUGCAUAGUCCGAGUAAUCCAUUUCUCAGAAAAGACCCCACCCAGGCUCCCUCCGGAGCAGCAAUGGACCAGGGAGGGAUCCUCACAGGCCUGGAGAAAUAACAGAUUAGGCCUGCUGAGAGCCAAGUUCCACUCCCCAAAGCACUAGCAAAUACAGAUGCUGCUAGGAAAAUAGAAAAUGUAUCUCUGAUGACCAGAGCUUGGGGCCCUGCUGUUACUUUGUACUAUGCAAUCUAAAAGGAGCCGCGGUGUGGAAGAUGGGAAAAUGGUUGUGUGUGCUACAAAGACUAUUACGUAACGUUAACAUAGUAUUGUGUGAUGGAAUGCCAGUUACAUGUUUAUAUAAAUACAAAAUUACUAUAUUGUUGGGUGUGUGUAACAAGUCAGUUCCAAGGGGCUAUACUGUGAACCGUGUUCAAUAGAGGUUAGAAAGGGUGGUGAUCACUUUAGGAGAAAACUGUUAACCCACCUAGUUCCAGUUCGGUAGGUUGCUGGGUGAUGAGAGCACCAGCGACCCUCUCCCCUGGAGAACUUACCACAAAGUUACUGUCCGGGCAUCUAGCCUGCAGAACGGCAUCAUCAGGUGGCUUGGUUUAUGUUACUAACUAGCUGACCCAAACUUAGAAUUUACAAAGACCCUCAUUCUAGGAGGCAGAGAGAAACAAGAAACUACACUCAAGCCGGCGUAGGCGCCGCUUUUCUGCCAUCAUCGUCCAGUCUCCAGGUUUACAGCUGCUGGCUGGUUUACAGCGUUGUGUUUGCCAUCCAAUGUGAACUGCAAACCUAUUCUUAGCCUGAACUUUAAAACUUGGCAGCUGCUUAGCAUGUAUGAGAACUGGGGCGGGGGUGGGGGGCGGGAGGCAGCUAUAGACAGGUUAAUUUGUACAGCCUAGGGGAAAAGUUGCGGUUGUGGAAGGGAUUGUAGCUUGUGAGAGUUAGUCUAUAGGGUUUAGGGUUGCCUAGCACACAAACCUCUGGGUGUGUCUCUUGUACUCACGGAGAGGUUUAACUGAACCUGGGCUGUAUGCUAGACUGAAUAGGAAGGAGAAAGGGAACUGAACACCAGCCUCCAUCUCUCUGCUUCCUGGCACCUCACGCUCCUGCUGCCGUGCCUUCUACCUUCCACAGAUAUAAUAGAUUGUACCACUGAAACUGUGAGCCAAAACUAAACUAACUAAAAAUUGCUUUUUAUCAAGUAUUUUUGUCAUAGCAAUGUGCAAAAUAGCUAAUUACAUUUUCUUCUAAAUCCCCAAAUCUCUUGUUUAAUUUGUAUUUGAGAUAACCCCUGUCAGCUCCUGUGAUGGACAUCUCGUUCUCCACCAAUGGUGCUGUUUUAGACUUGCGACCUAGUGUGUGUCUGGGGGCGAGGGGUCAACCUUGAAGCAUAUAUCCUGUAGUAUUUAGUCACAGUGCGAAGCUUCGAGCUCCCACCACCAUGGAGUGAGACCCAACGCCAUGCCAUCCUGCCGUGAUGGACUGUAUCCCCCGUGAACCAAGUACUCAGCCGACAUCAAACUCAGCAUCUUUGGCUUCCACCAUGAACCACUGGGAUUCCUAAGGCAUUCAGCCAUAUGGACUGACCAACUCCGGAGUUCUCAGGCUCUCCAGCAUGUGCCUGCCGUGAUUUGUUGCCUGCUCACAGGCCCAAAGCAGUGAACCAGCCAACCGACCACAGGCUGAAUCCUUGAAACCCACAUAGUAUAUGUCCAUGGUCCCAGGAUAUAGGAGGCCAAUACAGGAGGAUCAGAAGUUCAUGUCAUCCUCAGCUACACAGAGGUUUGAGGCCAGCCUGGGCUCCAGGAGAUUUGUCUCAAAAGAAACAAAGCAAAACAAAAGACUACCCCCACAACCUAAAAGCAUCUAUCUUUAGAGUUUAAAUGUAUACAUAAUAAAUAAAUAAAUGUUUUAAAAAAAUAUUCUUUAGGGCUGGAGAGAUGGCUCAGAGGUUAAGAGCACUGUCUGCUCUUCCAGAGGUCCUGAGUUCAAUUCCAAGCAACCACAUGGUGGCUCACAACCAUCUAUAAUCAGAUCUGGUGCCCUCUUCUGGCCUGCAGGAAUACAUGCAGGCAGAAAGCUGUAUGAUGUAUACAUAGUAAAUAAAUAAAUGUUUAAAAAAAUA
ensembl:lncRNA